GAACUACGAUUUGGAAGCACAUAUACUAAAACUGGAAUGAUACGGAGAAGAUUAGCAUGGCCCCUGCACAAGGAUGACAUGCAAAUUCUUUUUGGGCAUAUUUCU